GACGAACGCUGGUGGCGUGCUUAACACAUGCAAGUCGAACGGAAAGGCCCUGCUUUUGUGGGGUGCUCGAGUGGCGAACGGGUGAGUAACACGUGAGUAACCUGCCCUUGACUUUGGGAUAACUUCAGGAAACUGGGGCUAAUACCGGAUAUGAGCUCCUGCUGCAUGGUGGGGGUUGGAAAGUUUCGGCGGUUGGGGAUGGACUCGCGGCUUAUCAGCUUGUUGGUGGGGUAGUGGCUUACCAAGGCUUUGACGGGUAGCAGGCCUGAGAGGGUGACCGGCCACAUUGGGACUGAGAGACGGCCCAGACUCCGACGGGAGGCAGCAGUGGGGAAUAUUGAACAAUGGGCGGAAGCCUGAUGCAGCAACGCCGCGUGCGGGAUGACGGCCUUCGGGUUGUAAAACGCUUUCGCCUGUGACGAAGCGUGAGUGACGGUAAUGGGUAAAGAAGCACCGGCUAACUACGUG
rnacentral:rRNA from 1 species